GACGAACGCUGGCGGCGUGCCUAAUACAUGCCAGUUGAGCGCUGAAGGUUGGUACUUGUACCAACUGGAUGAGCAGCGAACGGGUGAGUAACGCGUGGGGAAUCUGCCUUUGAGCGGGGGACAACAUUUGGAAACGAAUGCUAAUACCGCAUAAAAACUUUAAACACAAGUUUUAAGUUUGAAAGAUGCAAUUGCAUCACUCAAAGAUGAUCCCGCGUUGUAUUAGCUAGUUGGUGAGGUAAAGGCUCACCAAGGCGAUGAUACAUAGCCGACCUGAGAGGGUGAUAGGCCACAUUGGGACUGAGACACGGCCCAAACUCCUACGGGAGGCAGCAGUAGGGAAUCUUCGGCAAUGGACGAAAGUCUGACCGAGCAACGCCGCGUGAGUGAAGAAGGUUUUCGGAUCGUAAAAAUCUGUUGGUAGAGAAGAACGUUGGUGAGAGUGGAAAGCUCAUCAAGUGACGGUAACUACCCAGAAAGGGACGGCUAACUACGUG
rnacentral:rRNA from 1 species